CAGCAGUCGCCGCGGGAAUACGUAGGUGGCAAGCGUUGUCCGGAAUUAUUGGGCGUAAAGGGCUCGCAGGCGGCUUCUUAAGUCUGAUGUGAAAGCCCCCGGCUCAACCGGGGGGGUCAUUGGAAACUGGGAAACUUGAGUGCAGAAGAGGAGAGCGGAAUUCCACGUGUAGCGGUGAAAUGCGUAGAGAUGUGGAGGAACACCAGUGGCGAAGGCGGCUCUCUGGUCUGUAACUGACGCUGAGGAGCGAAAGCGUGGGGAGCGAACAGGAUUAGAUACCCGCGUAGUCCCUGUCUCUUAUACA
rnacentral:rRNA from 1 species